rnacentral:rRNA from 1 species
CUUGAGGGAGUCAAGAGCGACGGGCGAUUUGUGCAUGUUAAAUUGCUUUCUCAAUAUUUGUUUUUGUGUUAAUUUUAAAUUUAAGUCCUUCUUUUUAUUAUUUAUUGUUUUUUUUGAGCCUUUAGGAUUGUUCCACAUCAACUCUUUAAAAUCUCUUUUGUCUUGAUUUGUUUUUUUAUCUUUCCAUAUAUUUUAAUUUUAGUUAUUUUAGAAUUUUCAAACAAUGAUAUGAAAAGUUAUAUUCAAAGUUAAGUUAAUCGUGGGUUAUCGAUUAAGUUACAUGAACCCCUAAAAAGAUUUAUCACCGCCAUAUCAUUUAGAUUUUUUUUAUUUAAAUACUUCCUAUUUUUAAUUUAAAA